rnacentral:lncRNA from 1 species
CCCCCUCAGACCUUGCAGAGGCCCAUUCUCUGUGUGGCUCUAGAUAGAGCUUGUCAAGUUGGCAAUUAACACCAACUGAUACAACACCAUAUUAUCUCAAAUGAAUACUGAGGUAGCAAAAGUCAUGGUAAUUUUGAAACUUUUAUUUUUGUUUGUUUGUAUAGUAGGGCGGGCACAAGCCCAUGCCCACCACAGAUCUCACAGGUGGGUCACAGGCCAACCCUUAGAACUGGUUCUCUCCUGCCACCUUGUGGCAUCGACGGGUGGGUCAUCCGGCCUGCAGAAGGAGGCUUUAACACACUGCUAAGAAGAAAUCUCCAAAUUACUGACUGGAAGAAGAAGGUGUGCACUACAUGCAUGUAAUGGCCAUGGGCGCCAGAAGAGGGCGCCAGAUCCCCUGGCCUGGAGCUUGGCGGGUGCUGGGAAUCAAUUCCAGGUCCUCUGGGACAGUGGCCAGUGCUAUUAACCACUAAACCAUUUCUGCAGCCCC